rnacentral:tRNA from 1 species
GCCGAUUUAGCUCAGUGGUAGAGCAGCUGUUUCGUAAACAGCAGGUCGUCGGUUCAAUCCCGACAAUCGGCU